CUCUCCUUAGCUCAGCUGGAAGAGCGUGAGACUGUAACGGAAUCCCGUCGGGAGCGUGGUUAAUCAACCACGUCAACUGGCAUCUCAAGGUCCCUGGUUCGAACCCUGGAGGGGAGA
rnacentral:tRNA from 1 species